rnacentral:misc_RNA from 1 species
AAGUCGUAACAAGGUCUCCGUAGGUGAACCUGCGGAGGGAUCAUUACUGAGUGAGGGCCCUCGGGCUCGACCUCCCACCCUUUGUGAACACAACUUGUUGCUUCGGGGGCGACCCUGCCGUUCGCGCGGCGAGCGCCCCGGCAGGCGUCAAUCAACUGCAUCAUUGCUGUCGGAGUUUAAGCAAAUUAAACAAAA